UGGGGAAUAUUGGACAAUGGACCAAAAGUCUGAUCCAGCAAUUCUGUGUGCACGAUGAAGUUUUUCGGAAUGUAAAGUGCUUUCAGUUGGGACGAAGAAAGUGACGGUACCAACAGAAGAAGCGACGGCUAAAUACGUGCCAGCAGCCGCGGUAAUACGUAUGUCGCAAGCGUUAUCCGGAUUUAUUGGGCGUAAAGCGCGUCUAGGCGGUUUGGUAAGUCUGAUGUGAAAAUGCGGGGCUCAACUCCGUAUUGCGUUGGAAACUGCCAAACUAGAGUACUGGAGAGGUGGGCGGAACUACAAGUGUAGAGGUGAAAUUCGUAGAUAUUUGUAGGAAUGCCGAUGGGGAAGCCAGCCCACUGGACAGAUACUGACGCUAAAGCGCGAAAGCGUGGGUAGCAAACA
rnacentral:rRNA from 1 species